rnacentral:rRNA from 1 species
CCUACGGGGGGCUGCAGUAGGGAAUUUUGCGCAAUGGGGGAAACCCUGACGCAGCAACGCCGCGUGAUCGAUGAAGCCCUUCGGGGUGUAAAGAUCUGUCAGUGGGGACGAACCCUUAAGGUACCCACAGAGGAAGCACCGGCCAACUCCGUGCCAGCAGCCGCGGUAAUACGGGGGGUGCAAGCGUUGUCCGGAAUCUUUGGGCGUAAAGAGUUCGUAGGUGGGACGUUAAGUCUGGUGUUAAAGACGGAAGCUCAACCUCCGGAGGGCACUGGAUACUGGCGUGCUUGAAUGCGGGAGAGGUAAAGGGAAUUCCUGGUGUAGCGGUGAAAUGCGUAGAUAUAAGGAGGAACACCGGUGGCGUAGGCGCUUUACUGGGCCGUAAUUGACACUGAGGAGCGAAAGCCGGGGUAGCAAAUGGGAUUAGAUACCCCUGUAGUC